CGCCGCUCCUCGCUCCGCCGCCUCCUCUCCUCGCCGGCCGUCUCCGCGGCCUGCCUCCUCUUCGGCCUCGCCGGGUUCCUCGCCGCCGCGGUCUCCCUCUCCUGGGCGCCCGCCGAGGCCCCGCGGGGCCGCUGCCCGGACUCCUCGCACCCGCUCUCCGUCUCCGUCGCCUGGGACCGGCGCCCCGGGGAUGCCGCGGGCGGCGCCACCGACCUCCCGGCGGGCCUCGCCACCGAAUCGCGCGGCAGGCACCAGGUCAUGGCCUUCGUCGGGAUCUUCACCGGGUUCGGCUCCGUCGGCCGCCGCCGCGCGCUCAGGCGGACGUGGCUCCCCUCCGAUCGGCAGGGUCUCCUUUUGUUGGAGGAAGCUACUGGUCUGGCAUUCAGAUUUGUGAUCGGUAAAAGCAAUGACAAGUCUAAGAUGGCAGCUCUUGAAAGAGAGGUUGAAGAAUAUGAUGAUUUUGUGCUUUUAGAUCUUGAGGAGGAGUAUAGCAGGCUUCCAUACAAAACGUUAGCAUUCUUUAAGGCUGCCUAUGCGUUGUUCGAUUCUGAUUUCUAUGUUAAAGCUGAUGAUGACACUUACUUGAGACCAGACCAACAUACACAAAUUUUAUUUUUGUAA
rnacentral:rRNA from 1 species